rnacentral:rRNA from 1 species
UACAGAGGUCUCAAGCGUUGCUCGGAUUCAUUGGGCGUAAAGGGUGCGUAGGCGGCUUGGCAAGUCGGGUGUGAAACCUCCAGGCUCAACCUGGAGACGCCACUCGAUACUGCUAUGGCUAGAGUCCGGUAGGGGACCACGGAAUUCCUGGUGUAGCGGUGAAAUGCGCAGAUAUCAGGAGGAACACCGGUGGCGAAGGCGGUGGUCUGGGCCGGCACUGACGCUGAGGAGCGAAAGCGUGGGUAGCAAACAGG